AGUAUACCGGAAGGUGUGCUUGGAAACGUAAUGUAGCUUAAUUAAAGCAUCUCGCUUACACCGAGAAAAUGUCUGUGAAAAUCAGAUCUUUAUGAGCCUAAAACUUAACUCAACUUUACAUGAAUUUUACCCUAAUAAUUUUACCCUAUUAAUAAACCAUUUUCAUAUUUUAGUAAAGGAGAUUGAAAAACCUCUAUUGAAGUUAUAACCAUAGUACCGCAAGGGAAAAGUGAAAUAAAUAGUGAAAAAUCAUUAAGCAACAAAAAGUAAAGACCCCCCCUUGUACCUUUUGCAUCAUGGUUUAACUAGUCUAACCAAGCAAAAUGAAUUUAAGUUUGACUUCCCGAAACUAAGUGAGCUACUUCGAGGCAGCCAAAAGAGCGAACCCGUCCCUGUAGCAAAAGAGUGGGAUGACCUUCAAGUAGGGGUGAAAGACCUAACGAACUUAGUGAUAGCUGGUUACUCAAGAAACGGACCUAAGUCCCACUUGAAGCGCUUAAUUAGUUUUCCAAAACAACCAUUUAGCCUUCAAUGUAAUUCAAAUAAGGUACAGCCUAUUUGAAACAGGAAACAACCUGAGCUGAUGGAUAAAACAGCUUUAUUAAUAACUUAGUAGGCCUAAAAGCAGCCAUCUAUUAAAUAGCGUCAAAGCUUAAUUGUUUUAUUGCUUAAUUUCACAAAUAUUAUUUUAAUCCUCCAUCUUUAUUGAGUAAUUCUAUACUAUUAUAGAAAAUUUUAUGUUAAAACUAGUAACAAGAAGAAGACCUUCUCUUUAAUGUAAGUGUCAAUCAGAAAGGACAAGCCACUGAUGCUUAACAUCAUUGAACCAAAAAUAGUAACUCAUCAAGAAAACACUAUUUUUAUUUAUGUUAACCUAACACAAGAGCAUUAUAAGAAAGAUUAAAAGAAAAAGACGCCUCUUGAACUUUAUAAGAGGUCCAGCCUGCCCAGUGACUCUGUUCAACGGCCGCGGUAUCCUAACCGUGCGAAGGUAGCGUAAUCACUUGUUCUUUAAAUGUGGACUAGUAUGAAUGGCACUACGAGGGUUACACUGUCUCCUUUUUCUAAUCAGUGAAACUAAUUUUCCCGUGAAGAAGCGGGAAUUCACCUAUAAGACGAGAAGACCCUAUGGAGCUUUAAACAAUCCAGCAAUUACUUUUAAAAUUAUAAAUUUCAGAAUAUUCAUUUUUUAAGCAAUGUGUCUGCAAGUUUUUGGUUGGGGUGACCAUGGAGAAUAACACAACCUCCAUAUUGAAUGAAUCCCAUUCUAAGCUAAAAAUUACUAAUUGAAGCAUCAACAUACUGACAUCUAUUGACCCAAUAUAUUUGAUCAACGAACCAAGUUACCCUAGGGAUAACAGCGCAAUCUACUUCAAGAGCCCCUAUCGACAAGUGGGUUUACGACCUCGAUGUUGGAUCAGGGUAUCCCAGUGGCGCAGCCGCUACUAAAGGUUCGUUUGUUCAACGAUUAAAACCCUACGGAUCUGAGU
rnacentral:rRNA from 1 species